rnacentral:rRNA from 1 species
CAGUCGCCACGGGAAUACGGAGGGUGCAAGCGUUAAUCGGAAUUACUGGGCGUAAAGCGCACGCAGGCGGUCUGACAAGUCAGAUGUGAAAUCCCCGGGCUUAACCUGGGAACUGCAUUUGAAACUGUCAGGCUGGAGUCUUGUAGAGGGGGGUGGAAUUCCAGGUGUAGCGGUGAAAUGCGUAGAGAUCUGGAGGAAUACCGGUGGCGAAGGCGGCCCCCUGGACAAAGACUGACGCUCAGGUGCGAAAGCGUGGGGAGCAAACAGGAUUAGAUACCCGCGUAGUCCCUGUCUCUUAUAC